ensembl:lncRNA
CAGGGUUUGGUUUUCAUUUCUAGGGUUGGGGUUUAGGGUUUCUAUGGGUCAUGUUUUGAGGUUAUUGGUGUGGUGUUAGGGUUUGGAAUACCGUUGUAGGGUAAGGGUGUGGUUUAAGAUUUUGUUUAUCAAGCUUAAGGACUGAUUUCAGAGUUAGGCUCAGGCUUUUAACGUUAAUAAGGUGCAACAAGGUUUUUUUUAUUAACAUAGCAUGAUAAUAUUAAAAAGUAAAAUCAAAAGCUGGUCGAGUGCCACCAAUAUAAGUUUUUAGUGGUGAUAUCCGGUCGCUAAUGCCCCGGCCGUCUAGAGCCCUGCCUCAGAAGGCUUAUUUUCUGUAUAUUAGCCGUUUUGGUAGUCUUCCAACAUACAUCAUUUGUUUAAAAAAGAAAUGUGUUCUCAGUCAGUGGAAAAAUACUGUUGCAUUAUAGAAACCCUGAUGUUAAACCCAGUAAUUAUUACCUAAGUGACCCUAUUCAGUUCUCCCUGGGACUUUUUUAAUAUUUGUAAUGUGUACAGAGUUAUUGUGCAAUACCAGCGGUCUUUUAUGAAAUUAAUGUGUGGACCUUAAGAAACGGGGGCUUAACACAAUGUUUAUAGUGUUGCUUUGGUUGGUGGAUCGCACGAUCUCUGCUGGCGGUGCUACACUUCCUUGAAGAUGAAUAAAUUAAUCACUAAAGGGGUUGAAAAAUGUUUAAAGUUGGCUUUCUCUAUACCCCUGAGCCUACUCAAAUUCAUAAAGAACUUGAGCCUACUCAAAUUCAUAAAGAACAGUCAAUAAUACCAAUGUUUACCUGUGUAACGGGUGAACCCAAACCAGACAUGGUUAUCUUGUUUUUACUCAACAUCCUAUAGCAUUUUUAUAUUUAUUACUUAUAUUUUAAAAAAGGCAGAGAAUUCUGUAAUUUUUCCCUAUAUUUUCUUCACAAAGAAAUUUUAUCGAGGUUCAAUCAUUGUAUCAUAUAAAUAGAAAGAUAUUUGAUUGCUCCCAAAUCACGGCCUUCCUUGAAAAAAAAGAGAAAAAUAACGCAGAAUUUUUACUGCCAUGUAAUAGCUUAUAUUUUCAUAAAUUCUAAAUUUGUUCAGAAUAACGAUGUUAUGUAAUGUGAUAUUGAAAGCAUGCUUCUGUCUGUGUAUGUGUGUGUAUCUGUGAGCAUGUAGUAGUGAAUGUUUGAGAUGUUAAACAAGUCUGUUUGAUUUUGAUAUUGUGCACAAUAAUGACUUGCAAAUAAGGAUUAUUUUAUGUAAAACAUAAAACCACCUGUGUGUGUUUUCCCUAUUUAUGUUUGAUAUAAAGUUCUGAAUUUCUCAUACAAUAAAGCAGUUUUAUA